rfam:Picoides pubescens contig88690, whole genome shotgun sequence.
GUGUCUUGUGAUGAAGCUUCAUAGGGCAGAUUCUGAGCGGAGAAAUAAAAUUUCUCUCCACUGAUUCACUCUAGAUGCCAUCUGAAGACAC